rnacentral:rRNA from 1 species
AAUGAACGUUGGCGGCGGGGAUUAGGCAUGCAAGUCGAGCGAGAACCCCGCAAGGGGGGACAGCGGCGUAAGGGACAGUAAUGUGUAGAUUAUCUGCCCUCAGGUCCGGGAUAGCUGCGGGAAACUGCAUGUAAUACCUGAUAACAUCUCCGGAUCAAAGGUGUGAUUCCGCCUGAGGAUGAGUCUGCAUCCUAUUAGCUAGUUGGUGGGGUAAUGGCCUACCAAGGCGUUGAUGGGUAGCAGGUGUGAGAGCACGACCUGCGUCAUUGGGGCUGAGACACGCUCCAGACUCCUACGGGGGGCAGCAGUGGUGAAUAUUGUACGAUGGGGGCAAGAAUGAUGCAGCCACGCCGCGGGUAGGAAGAAGGCGGUCUGGGUGUAAAAUACUUCCAGCGGGGGGGAAGGGAGGAAGGUUGGUACCCUUGCUCAUUGACGUUACCCGCAGAAGAAGCACCGGCUAACUCCGUG